GUGCUCACUUCGGCAGCACAUUGACUAAAAUUGGAAUGAUACAGAGAUUAACAUGGCCCCUGCUCAAGGACAACAAGGGUCACAAAUUUGUGAAGCGUUCCAUAUUUAA